rnacentral:rRNA from 1 species
ACACAUGCAAGUCGAACGGUAGCACAGAGAGCUUGCUCUCGGGUGACGAGUGGCGGACGGGUGAGUAAUGUCUGGGAAACUGCCUGAUGGAGGGGGAUAACUACUGGAAACGGUAGCUAAUACCGCAUAACGUCGCAAGACCAAAGAGGGGGACCUUCGGGCCUCUUGCCAUCAGAUGUGCCCAGAUGGGAUUAGCUAGUAGGUGGGGUAACGGCUCACCUAGGCGACGAUCCCUAGCUGGUCUGAGAGGAUGACCAGCCACACUGGAACUGAGACACGGUCCAGACUCCUACGGGAGGCAGCAGUGGGGAAUAUUGCACAAUGGGCGCAAGCCUGAUGCAGCCAUGCCGCGUG